rnacentral:rRNA from 1 species
GACGAACGCUGGCGGCGUGCUUAACACAUGCAAGUCGAACGGAAAGGCCCUGCUUUUGUGGGGUGCUCGAUUGGCGAACGGGUGAGUAACACGUGAGUAACCUGCCCUUGACUUUGGGAUAACUUCAGGAAACUGGGGCUAAUACCGGAUAGGAGCUCCUGCUGCAUGGUGGGGGUUGGAAAGUUUCGGCGGUUGGGGAUGGACUAGCGGCUUAUCAGCUUGUUGGUGUGGUAGUGGCUUACCAAGGCUUUGACGGGUAGCCGGCCUGAGAGGGUGACCGGCCACAUUGGGACUGAGAUACGGCCCAGACUCCUACGGGAGGCAGCAGUGGGGAAUAUUGCACAAUGGGCGGAAGCCUGAUGCAGCAACGCCGCGUGCGGGAUGACGGCCUUCGGGUUGUAAACCGCUGUCGCCUGUGACGAAGCGUGAGUGACGGUAAUGGGUAAAGAAGCACCGGCUAACUACGUG